GAUGAACGCUGGCGGCGUGCCUAAUACAUGCAAGUCGAGCGAACAGACGAGGAGCUUGCUCCUCUGACGUAAGCGGCGGACGGGUGAGUAACACGUGGAUAACCUACCUAUAAGACUGGGAUAACUUCGGGAAACCGGAGCUAAUACCGGAUAAUAUAUUGAACCGCAUGGUUCAAUAGUGAAAGACGGGUUUGCUGUCACUUAUAGAUGGAUCCGCGCCGCAUGAGCUAGUUGGUAAGGUAACGGCUUACCAAGGCAACGAUGCGUAGACGACCUGAGAGGGUGAUCGCCCACCCUGGAACUGAGACACGGUCCAGACUCCUACGGGAGGCAGCAGUAGCGAACCUUACGCAAUGGGCGAAAGCCUGACGGAGCAGCGCCGCGUGAGUGAUGAAGGUCUUCGGAUCGUAAAACUCUGUUAUUAGGGAAGAACAAAUGUGUAAGUAACUAUGCACGUCUUGACGGUACCUAAUCAGAAAGCCACGGCUAACUACGUG
rnacentral:rRNA from 1 species